UCCAAUGUGGUGUAGUGGCUAACAUUGCUGUCUUUCAUUAACGCAACCAUUAAGAUUACACAGCAGCCCGGGGUUCGAUUCCCCGCAUUGGAA